CACACACACACACACACACACACACACACACCAUUUUUACCAGAAGUCGCCGUUUCGAUCCCUUUAGAAACAGUAAUAAUUUCGACAAACAAUGGCUUAAAGUGAUUCAGAAAGAUUCGUUCAUGUCAAAUCCACCUGUACGGAGAAGUUUCAGCUCAGAGCUGGGUUUCUCUCUGGGGAAGUGAAAACCCGGAGUGGAUCCGCGGCGGCGUGAUCACAGAGUCGAAGAAUCCGAUCCACUUACAUACAGAGCUCCACUCCGGCUUCCGGUGUGCGUUGCUUGGUAACUACUUUGACGCUUUGGCUUCUUGUGGAACUAUUUUCGUUUCCCCAGAAGAAAUAGUCGAACUAACUUUCCAAUUCCGCCUGCGCGAUAAUUGUGGCUACAGUAAGGUACAUUAAAUAAAUACUCCAUCUUGCCAUGAUUCACAAGGUGGUGUCGGAGUCCCUCCCUCUGCUCUCAGAUGACUGCAGCAGCAGACAGCAGUGCUCUCUCUCUCUCUCUCUCUCUCUCUGACCGACAGCAGCAGAAGCAUGGCGGCGAUGGAGACACGGGAGUGCGAGACGGAAGGCUGCCGCAGCGAAGCUAAGCUCCAGUGUCCCACCUGCAUCAAACUCGGAAUUCAAGGCUCAUACUUUUGCUCUCAGGAAUGUUUCAAAGGCAGCUGGGCCACCCAUAAACUGCUC